GGUGACUAAGUGGUAGAGUGCUUGCCUCUGAUGCAUGAAGCCCUGGGUGCAAUUCCCCAGCACCA
rnacentral:tRNA from 1 species